GAUGAACGCUAGCUACAGGCUUAACACAUGCAAGUCGAGGGGAAACGACAUCGAAUUCUUGCUUUUGCUGGGCGUCGACCGGUGCACGGGUGAGUAACGCGUAUCCAAUCUGUCCACCACUUGUGGAUAACAUUGCGAAAGUAAGACUAAUACCCAAUGUUAUCCCCCGAAGACAUCUGAAUGGUACUGAAGAUUUAUCUGUAAUGGAUGGGUAUGCGUCUGAUUAGCUUGUUGGCGGGUUAACGGCCUACCAAGGCAACGAUCAGUAGGGGUUCUGAGAGUAAGGUCCCUCAGAUGGGAACUGAGACCAGGGCGAAACUGCUACGGGAGGGAGCAGUGAGGAAUACUGGAGAAGGGAAGAGAGCAUGAACGAGCCAAGUAGGGUGCAGGAAGACGGCGCUAGGGGUUGUAAACUGCUUUUAUAAGGGAAUAAAGUGGGUCAAGUGUGACUUUUUGAAGGUAACUGAUGAAUAAGGACCGGCUAAUUACGUG
rnacentral:rRNA from 1 species